rnacentral:rRNA from 1 species
UAGUUGGGNGGGUAAUGGCCUACCAAGGCAACGAUCAGUAGCCGGCCUGAGAGGGUGAACGGCCACAUUGGGACUGAGACACGGCCCAAACUCCUACGGAAGGCAGCAG